GAUGAACGCUGGCGGCGUGCUUAACACAUGCAAGUCGAACGGAAAGGCCACAGCUUGCUGUGGUACUCGAGUGGCGAACGGGUGAGUAACACGUGGGUGAUCUGCCCUGUACUUCGGGAUAAGCUUGGGAAACUGGGUCUAAUACCGGAUAGGAAUCACAUGUGGGUGUGGGGUUGGAAAGCUUUUGCGGUAUGGGAUGAGCUCGCGGCCUAUCAGCUUGUUGGUGGGGUAAUGGCCUACCAAGGCGUCGACGGGUAGCCGGCCUGAGAGGGUGUACGGCCACAUUGGGACUGAGAUACGGCCCAGACUCCUACGGGAGGCAGCAGUGGGGAAUAUUGCACAAUGGGCGCAAGCCUGAUGCAGCGACGCCGCGUGGGGGAUGACGGCCUUCGGGUUGUAAACUCCUUUCGUCAGGGACGAAGCGAAAGUGACGGUACCUGGAUAAGAAGCACCGGCUAACUACGUG
rnacentral:rRNA from 1 species